UGUUUCCUCGUUCCCCUUUCUUCCUCGUGCGACUGCUUUGUCUCGAUUCCUUCUCUGCUUCGUCCUCUCGAUUCCUCUUCCUUCCUCUCGAUUCUUCGCCGUGGUCUUGAUUCCUUCCUCCUUCGUGCAUCUCGGGGCGCUAGGUGCUCUGGUUCUUCAUCUUCUCUCCCCUUCCUGCAAAUCUCUGGGAUGGAAGUUAGGGUUAGCUGAUUUGUUCUCUGUUGUUGGUAGACGGUGUUUUGGCAACCAAAUUCUGAGGAAUAACACUUCAAUUUUGUGAUAAUUGGUCGAGGUUCGUCAGAUCUGGUGUUCCCCGUUUGGUUUUUAUUCCAAAUUCCUAGGUUCCUCAACUGUAUUCAACUUUCUUUUUCUGUUUGUGUUUGCAGGUUCGGUUGAGAUCUAACAUAUCAUAGUUCUUCUACAGAUUUGUAGGUAAAUCAUUACAGCAAGUACUUGUCAACUAUUUUCUAUUCUGGUGCUUGACAAUUUUGUUCCUAACCCUUUUUGUGAAUAUGCUUUAAGAUGUUGUCGAUACUUCUACAGAAGUGAACGAGCAUGUCCCUUCAAUUGUGUAGAUGCUCUGAAUUUUCCAUGUAUAUACUUAUGGACCGGCAAUAGUUGUGAAGAUACUGCUGUAGUUUUCUUCUAGCUACUACUGUAAAUGAAUCUCGCUUAGUUUUUCUGGUAAAUGCUCAUAGAUAUAGGAGGUGUUCUUCUCUUGAAAAUCUUAAGUAACCUAGUGUUCAUUUCAACAUUAUUUCGUUUCCAUGCAAAUCAUAUCAUUUUCUAGUUCAUAAAUAGUCAUUACCACUUUUAAUAUGAUUAUCUUCAUGAUACAUUCUACUCUGGUUUUGAAUGUUCAGUUAAUUAAUUUGAAUCACCUCCUAGUUUGUUUGGUAGCUUAAUUAGCAUCCACCUUUCUAAUCAGCAAGUUUUGUGAUGUUAAUUUAACUACGUGUGUACACUGUUUAGCUAACAGUAACUACUUGCUUCCCUAGAAAAAACACCAGCUAGUUGGUUGAUCUGAUUUGCCUGCAUUAUUACUGUACUGAAUUCUUCAUAGACCUUGUUACAUUUGAUACAAAUUAUUUCUGCACUUAGUCGAGUAUUUUUUCCUGUUCAACGAUUUUAGGAAAUCAUUCCUCAAUCUCGGUAGAUUGUUUUCAGAAAGGAAAGGAGUAGUGACAAGUAGUUGAUUACAUUGAUGUGUACUUCCAUUUUUGUCUCAUCAAUGUAUACGUCAGAAAGCAUUCAGUUGUAUAGUUCAUAUAACAGAAUUUAUACCUUGUGGGCAUGUGCUCUAAAUGAUUGCAUUUCUGCUUUUCUUGUUGUUUUCAUGUGUAUCUCACACCACAAUAUUGCAUCAGAAAUAGAGAAGUUGUUUUGAACCAUAUAUUCAUGAUGUUCCUGUUUUGUUUGCUGUCUUCGGGUACUAUAUUCGAAUCACUAUCUAUUUUAUCACGAAUAGAUUGUUGAUUCAGCUUCUAAUAUUAAUUUCGUGCAAAACUGAAUUAAGCAUGAAUAUAACAUUUUUCAAUCCAAGUUUUUCUAAAAAAAUUGAAAAAAAAUCUGAAUCCUAUAGCAAAACUACAGUCACAUAAACUAAUUUCAUUUCAAAAACAAAGCUCUGGUCCAUGAGCAAAAUAACAAAACUAGCACAUUAACCCAGUAGUAGAAGAUGAAACUUUCAAGAAGUGGCGAUUAUUUUUUUACUACUUCUUGGUAUUCUUUUUGAAGGGGAGCCUUGGCGCAGUGGUAAAGCUGCUGCCUUGUGACCAUGAGGUCACGGGUUCAAGUCCUGAAAACAACCUCUUACAGUAAUGUAGGGAAAGGCUGCGUACAAUAGACCCAAAGUGGUCGGACCCUUCCCCAGACCCUGCGCAAGCGGGAGCUACAUGCACUGGGGCUGCCCUUGGUAUUCUUUUUGCUCCCCUGUUUUUUAGUUUUCUUUUUGCUACUUCUUGGUAUUCUUUUUGCUACUUCUUGUUUUUCUUUUUUCCUUUGUUUUCUAGUUUUCCUUUUUGUUUUUUCUUCUUCUUUUCAUUUUUAGUUAUUUCUGUUUCUUUUUUCUUUUUUCGAUUUUUCUGUUUGUUUUCUUUCUUUGUUUUUUCUUUUUCCUUUUUUCCCUCUCUUUUUAUCAAAAGAAUUUCAAAUAUUCAAAUUUUGUUCGUGUUUCCAUAAAAUGUUCACGUUUCAAAAAAUGUUCUCAAGAUUCAAAAAUUGUUAUCAUUACACAAAAAGUUGAAAAGUUUCAAAAUGCAAAAAAUGUAAAGAAUUUCAAUUUUUUGUUCCCGUUUUUAUAAAAUGUUCGCGCUUCCAGAUUUGUUCGGGACUUUCAAAAUUGUUCUCCAUUUCAAAAUUUGUUCUGAAGAUUAAAAAAAUGUUCACACUUUAAAAAAUUGUUCGCGCUUCCAAAUUUGUUCGGGAUUUUUCAAAAUUGUUCUCCGUUUCAAAAUUAGUUCUCAAGAUUAAAAAAUGUUUGUGCUUUAAAAAAUUGUGCGUGCUCCCAAAUCUGUUCUCCGUUUCAAAAUUUGUUCUCAAGAUUCAAAAAAUGUUCGUGCUUCCAAAUUUGUUCUUCGUUUCAAAAUUUGUUCUCAAGAUUCAAAAAAUGUUCGUGCUUCAAAAUUUGUUCUCCAUUUCAAAAUUUGUUCCCAAGAUUCAAAAUAUGUUCAUGCUUUAAAAAAUUGUUCACAAAUUCCAAAAAAUGUUUGGGGAAUUCAAAAAUUGUUCAUGUUUUCAAAAAUGUUCUUGGUUUCAACAUUUUAUUUGCAAAUUCAACAAAUGUCAUGUUUCAAAAAAAAAUCGCAUUUUAAAAAAUGUUCUGUUUAAACAUUUUUGUUCUGAACUGAAAAAAGUUCCUGUUUCCAUUUUUGUUCAAAAAUUUAAAACUGUUCGUGGUCUCAGAAAAUGUUCCGAAAAUUCAAAAAAUGUUUGUGUUUUUCAUAAUUUCUGUUGUAUUUCUUGAAAAAUUGUUCGCAUUUUAGAAAACUGUUCAGGAUUUGCAAAAUUUGUGCAUGUUUCUUUUUUUAAUCGAAAUUACAAAAAAUAUUUACUGCAUCAAAAAAUGUUAGAACGUAUAACAAUUGUGAUAUUUUAAAACUGUUCAUUGUGCCUUUUAUGAUUCAUUAGCAACUUAUUUCUUCUACUUCUCAAGAAAUAGUUAGAAAGUUUUUUAAGUUAAUCGGAAAUUGCAACACUGUUUCUUUUUUCAGGUACGACUCAGGAAUUUUCCUUCUUCAGUAUCUUAGCAAGUACAAAGGUCUCGGAAUGGAAGGUUUCUCCAAUGUAAGUAGUUACCAAUUCAUUCAUUGAGAGCACUUGUUUUCCUUAUUUAGCUUUCUUCGAAAUAUAUCAUUUUUUCUAAGCUGCUACUCAAUUGUUUUACAUUCUGAAGGAUGAUUUACAAGCUGUACGAGAGAAAUUCCUUUUUGAGAUCAUAACUUGCAAGGACAAUGAAAUUCAGCUUCCAUUCGUAACUUCUUUCCUACAGAGACAUGUUAGUUUUCUAUUUCUUUUUAUUGCCACAAUCCUUGGCCUCCUCCUCAUCACAUCUCUAUUUCAACAGGGUUUUCGCAUUUUCAAGUGAAGCAUUCAACAUGAUUUCUGCAUUUGAACAAAGCUUUUAGGUAAGUUCAUGAUCUCUAGUUUCCCCCUGAAGAAUCCUAAUGAACUUUUUCUCUAAUCCCAACUAACAUUUUUCCUUUCUUAUUCUGCAGGUAUUGAUUGCCAUUCGUUACUGUCAAGUAUAAUGGAAUUUGCACUACAAGAAGUUCUCCUGAAUUUGCACUGAAAGGAAAAAAAACAUGGCGAAAAUGCUUCAUCCUAGGAAAAAACCAUUUGUUUUUGUUUCCUAGCACAGUUUAGGUAACUUCAUACACACGUUGUCGGUACAUUUUUUUCAUUCUUCCAACUAACAUAUUUCCCAUUUUAUUCUCAGCGGCCGCAAUGCCAGAAUUUUUCCCAACUCAAAGGAAGAGUACUAUGACGAAACUGUUCUGCUGUUUCUUUAUCAUGGUUCCCCAGUGAUACUGUCUUGUAUUAUUUUCACUUGUAAAGAAGGUUUAAAUCCCCCCGCAAAAAAAAGGUUUAAAUCUGCAGAAUAAGUUUGUAAAGGAAGCAGUUCCACGACCAGUAGAAACAGCGAGGAACAACAGAUAAUUGCCCUCUUCUAGUGUUUUAUAUGAAUACAAGGAAAAUUUCACCAUUCUUCUACUUUUUCCCAACUGAAGGGAAAUGAAGAAAUUGUUGUCUUAAUGGUACUGUUCUCUGUUUUUAUCAUGGUUCCCAAAAGGUAAUUUCUUGCAUUAAUUCCAGCUGCAUCGAAGAUUUAAAUCUCCUGAAUAAGUUAGUAAAGGAAUUCAAAGCUUUAUAUACUUGUUUCCAUACAGUUUUUUUGCACGUGUUUUUGAUGCUCCUCCAGCUUUGGAACUCUCCUAAAACUGUUUUUACAACUGUUGUUUGAAACAGGAGAAACAUCUGAAAUAGUUAUCAAUGAAGUUUCAAAAGAACUGAAAUAGUUAUUACAAUGAAAUUUCGAAAACAGCAGAAACAACUUAAACAUCUGAAACAGAGACA
rnacentral:lncRNA from 1 species